rnacentral:rRNA from 1 species
GGUGAGUAACACGUGAGUAACCUGCCCUUAACUCUGGGAUAAGCCUGGGAAACUGGGUCUAAUACCGGAUAUGACUCCUCAUCGCAUGGUGGGGGGUGGAAAGCUUUAUUGUGGUUUUGGAUGGACUCGCGGCCUAUCAGCUUGUUGGUGAGGUAAUGGCUCACCAAGGCGACGACGGGUAGCCGGCCUGAGAGGGUGACCGGCCACACUGGGACUGAGACACGGCCCAGACUCCUACGGGAGGCAGCAGUGGGGAAUAUUGCACAAUGGGCGAAAGCCUGAUGCAGCGACGCCGCGUGAGGGAUGACGGCCUUCGGGUUGUAAACCUCUUUCAGUAGGGAAGAAGCGAAAGUGACGGUACCUGCAGAAGAAGCGCCGGCUAACUACGUGCCAGCAGCCGCGGUAAUACGUAGGGCGCAAGCGUUAUCCGGAAUUAUUGGGCGUAAAGAGCUCGUAGGCGGUUUGUCGCGUCUGCCGUGAAAGUCCGGGGCUCAACUCCGGAUCUGCGGUGGGUACGGGCAGACUAGAGUGAUGUAGGGGAGACUGGAAUUCCUGGUGUAGCGGUGAAAUGCGCAGAUAUCAGGAGGAACACCGAUGGCGAAGGCAGGUCUCUGGGCAUUAACUGACGCUGAGGAGCGAAAGCAUGGGGAGCGAACAGGAUUAGAUACCCUGGUAGUCCAUGCCGUAAACGUUGGGCACUAGGUGUGGGGGACAUUCCACGUUUUCCGCGCCGUAGCUAACGCAUUAAGUGCCCCGCCUGGGGAGUACGGCCGCAAGGCUAAAACUCAAAGGAAUUGACGGGGGCCCGCACAAGCGGCGGAGCAUGCGGAUUAAUUCGAUGCAACGCGAAGAACCUUACCAAGGCUUGACAUGAACCGGAAAUACCUGGAAACAGGUGCCCCGCUUGCGGUCGGUUUACAGGUGGUGCAUGGUUGUCGUCAGCUCGUGUCGUGAGAUGUUGGGUUAAGUCCCGCAACGAGCGCAACCCUCGUUCUAUGUUGCCAGCGCGUUAUGGCGGGGACUCAUAGGAGACUGCCGGGGUCAACUCGGAGGAAGGUGGGGACGACGUCAAAUCAUCAUGCCCCUUAUGUCUUGGGCUUCACGCAUGCUACAAUGGCCGGUACAAAGGGUUGCGAUACUGUGAGGUGGAGCUAAUCCCAAAAAGCCGGUCUCAGUUCGGAUUGGGGUCUGCAACUCGACCCCAUGAAGUCGGAGUCGCUAGUAAUCGCAGAUCAGCAACGCUGCGGUGAAUACGUUCCCGGGCCUUGUACACACCGCCCGUCAAGUCACGAAAGUUGGUAACACCCGAAGCCGGUGGCCUAACCCCU